GCAGCUGCCGGACACCAGGAGACGAUGGAAGGUCUAUAGUGUUACAGCUCUGACCCAGGAAGUCCCAGGGUCUUGCCUUCCAGAAGGGUCGCGGCUCUUCCCUCCCUCAGUCCAACGAACAGGAGCACGUCACCUCCCGCAGCUCGGGGAGCUGGCCAGGAACGUGUUACAGCCCGUUUCGCUCCUGUCCGCAGCUGGGUGAGGCAGCCAGGAAAAUAUUACAGCUCUUCUCACGCCCGCCAUUCAGCAGGUCCUGACUUCUUGUGUGACAUCCAGAAGAAAGGGGUUACACAGACAGCUGGAGGGUGAGCAAAGUGGAGAAGUUCUCAGCAGAGAGGAGACUGGAGUGAGUUGCCCCUACCCGCAGGAAAGACAGCAUUCAAGGAACCACCUUGUACGCAGACACUGAAACCUCGCGAGACAACAAAACUGCUGACACCUUGAUCUUGGACUUCCCAGCCUCCAGAACUAUGUGAGACAUAGAACUAUAAACCAGCAAAGAGUACAUAGAACAAACAUUUUUUUUAGAAGGAUUAAAUGGGACAAUUAAACAAUUUGAUCAGCAUAAUGUCCAGCUCAAGGAUCUUGGAGGUGGUGAGGCAGCCCAAGUGGAAAGGCAGCAGAAGGGGUAUCCUUGUUUUACCAAUUACUCAUAUGUAGGAGAUGGUGCAUUAAAUGAAAUAUUCUCUGCUCUCUCCUAACAUCUACCCCCUCACACCAAGAGGAAGGCAUGUCGCCUGAACCUUUGCAGUAUUCAAUUAAAGUUCUAUUCACACGGUAUUGCAGUUGUUUGCUUAUCUUUCUUUCUUAUUAGACUUAAAACUUCUGGAAACUAGAGGCUAUAUUACUUAUUUGCCUCAGAGUCCUGUUGGCCUAUCAAAUGGCACACCUUCAAUCCAAGAAUGAAUUAAUUAAAUAAAUGUGAAGAAAAAAAAAAUCCAAGUUGCUUAUUUUUGUUAAAUUUAUUUUUCCCCAAAAUAUUUACUGAGAAAAUGACUCUGGGAAGAUAGCAGAGUGGAAAGCCCCAGAAAUGUGUUUCCCCACCUAGACAACAACUGUACUGGCAGAAUCUGUUUGAUGUGACUAUUCUGAAGUUCUGAAUUGAAUAAAUAUGAAGAAAAUACAAA
rnacentral:lncRNA from 1 species